AAGAUCUACGGAUGAAAGCAGGGGAUCGCAAGACCUUGCGCGAAUGGAGCGGCCGAUGGCAGAUUAGGUAGUUGGUGAGGUAAAGGCUCACCAAGCCUUCGAUCUGUAGCUGGUCUGAGAGGACGACCAGCCACACUGGGACUGAGACACGGCCCAGACUCCUACGGGAGGCAGCAGUGGGGAAUUUUGGACAAUGGGCGAAAGCCUGAUCCAGCCAUGCCGCGUGCAGGAUGAAGGCCUUCGGGUUGUAAACUGCUUUUGUACGGAACGAAACGGCCUUUUCUAAUAAAGAGGGCUAAUGACGGUACCGUAAGAAUAAGCACCGGCUAACUACGUGCCAGCAGCCGCGGUAAUACGUAGGGUGCAAGCGUUAAUCGGAAUUACUGGGCGUAAAGCGUGCGCAGGCGGUAAUGUAAGACAGUUGUGAAAUCCCCGGGCUCAACCUGGGAACUGCAUCUGUGACUGCAUUGCUGGAGUACGGUAGAGGGGGAUGGAAUUCCGCGUGUAGCAGUGAAAUGCGUAGAUAUGCGGAGGAACACCGAUGGCGAANGCAAUCCCCUGGACCUGUACUGACGCUCAUGCACG
rnacentral:rRNA from 1 species